GGUUCCAUGGUGUAGUGGUUAGCACUUCAGACUUUGAAUCUGGCGACCUGGGUUCAAAUCCCGGUGGAACCU
rnacentral:tRNA from 1 species